GACGAGGGAUCCUAGCGUUGUUCGGAAUCAUUGGGCGUAAAGCGGGCGUAGGCGGCCGAAAAAGUCAGAUGUGAAAGCCUUGAGCUCAACUCAAGAAGUGCAUUUGAAACUCUUCGGCUUGAGUAUGGGAGAGAAUAGUGGAAUUCCUGGUGUAGUGGUGAAAUACGUAGAUAUCAGGAGGAACACCGGUGGCGAAGGCGGCUAUUUGGCCCAAUACUGACGCUCAGGCCCGAAAGCGUGGGUAGCAAACAGG
rnacentral:rRNA from 1 species